GAUACAUGCAUUUUAUGCUCUUCAAGAUUAUGGUAACUUCAUUCCUCUUUCUGUAUAUCAAACAAGAUAAGUAGUGACAACAGCUGAAGUGAUUUCUCAUUGGGUAAGAUUGUGCUAUACAUCAAAUGAGGUCCUUGCGUUUUGUCGGAAGCCAAUUCUUUACAGGGGCCACUUAGAUUUAAAUCUGCCUUUGUAUUGAAAUUUCAUGACUCUUGAAAUUACGUAUGACAAGCGACAAGCCAACAAGAUUUCAAAAUCUUUAUUAAUUGUUGGGUGCAUGCCAAUAUAUUUCGUUAGUUUCCUUCGAAGUCUUUUCAAAUAAAUGAAUGUUUCUCUACCAGUGAUGAGUAUGUUUUUCGUAAGAUACUUUGUUUACUUGUUUGAGUAUUAGUAUCGUCUGUUUAAUGAGUGUGAAAUGGCAUCUAC